GACGAACGCUGGCGGCGUGCUUAACACAUGCAAGUCGAACGGAAAGGCCCUGCUUGCAGGGUACUCGAGUGGCGAACGGGUGAGUAACACGUGGGUGAUCUGCCCUGCACUUCGGGAUAAGCUUGGGAAACUGGGUCUAAUACCGGAUAGGACCGCACUUUAGUGUGUGUGGUGGAAAGUUUUUUCGGUGUAGGAUGAGCUCGCGGCCUAUCAGCUUGUUGGUGGGGUAAUGGCCUACCAAGGCGGCGACGGGUAGCCGGCCUGAGAGGGUGUACGGCCACAUUGGGACUGAGAUACGGCCCAGACUCCUACGGGAGGCAGCAGUGGGGAAUAUUGCACAAUGGGCGCAAGCCUGAUGCAGCGACGCCGCGUGGGGGAUGAAGGCCUUCGGGUUGUAAACUCCUUUCGUUAGGGACGAAGCUUUUUGUGACGGUACCUAGAUAAGAAGCACCGGCUAACUACGUG
rnacentral:rRNA from 1 species